rnacentral:misc_RNA from 1 species
UCCGAGUUGACCCCGGCAGUCUCCUAUGAGUCCCCGCCAUAACGCGCUGGCAACAUAGAACGAGGGUUGCGCUCGUUGCGGGACUUAACCCAACAUCUCACGACACGAGCUGACGACGGCCAUGCAGCACCUGUGUUCAAGUUCUCUUUCGAGCACUUCCACAUCUCUGCAGAAUUCUUGACAUGUCAAGGGUAGGUAAGGUUUUUCGCGUUGCAUCGAAUUAAUCCACAUAAUCCACCGCUUGUGCGGGUCCCCGUCAAUUCCUUUGAGUUUUAACCUUGCGGCCGUACUCCCCAGGCGGUCAACUUCACGCGUUAGCUUCGUUACCAAGGAAUUACUUCCCCGACAACCAGUUGACAUCGUUUAGGGCGUGGACUAC